rnacentral:rRNA from 1 species
AGUGAACGCUGGCGGCGUGCCUAAUACAUGCCAGUCGAACGGAGUGGCGCACGGGCGAGUAAUGUAUAGCUAAUCUGCCCUACACUAGAGGAAAACAGCUGGAAACGGCUGCUAAUACUCCAUAGUGUAGGAUGAGGCUAUAUUGUAUCAGCUAGUUGGUGAGGUAAUGGCUCACCAAUGCUAUGACGCAUAACUGGUCUGAGAGGAUGAUCAGUCACACUGGAACUGAGACACGGUCCAGACUCCUUCGGGAGGCAGCAGUAGGGAAUAUUGCUCAAUGGGGGAAACCCUGAAGCAGCAACGCCUCGUGGAGGAUUACACUUUUCGGAGCGUAAACUCCUUUUGUUAGGGAAGCGGUACCUAACGAAUAAGCACCGGCUAACUCCGUGCCAGCAGCCGCGGUAAUUC